rnacentral:misc_RNA from 1 species
UCUCCGUUGGUGAACCAGCGGAGGGAUCAUUACCGAGUUUACAACUCCCAAACCCCUAUGUGAACGUUACCAAACUGUUGCCUCGGCGGGAAAUUCAUGCCCCGGGCGCGUCGCAGCCCCGGACCAAGGCGCCCGCCGGAGGACCAACCAAAACUCUUUUGUAUGUCCCUCGCGGACUUUUAUAAUUCUGAUCCAUCUCGGCGCCCCUAGCGGGCGUUUCGAAAAUGAAUCAAAACUUUCAACAACGGAUCUCUUGGUUCUG